UUAAAAUCACAGAAUGGUUUUUAGGAAAAAGGCAAAACCACGUGAAUGUGGUACCGAAUAUAAACUAAAGAUCAUUUUGCGUCGUUUAAAUAAAAUUCACUUAUUGGCUUAAAGUUCCAGUACUCGGAUUGUUUUGACUGGUGAGAAGCUGUUUGGAUCCCGAGAUUCUCAAGAAAUAACAUUGUUGUUAACAGUAGCAGGUGAAA